rnacentral:rRNA from 1 species
AUUGAACGCUGGCGGCAGGCCUAACACAUGCAAGUCGAGCGGCAGCGGAAAGUAGCUUGCUACUUUGCCGGCGAGCGGCGGACGGGUGAGUAAUGUCUGGGAAACUGCCUGAUGGAGGGGGAUAACUACUGGAAACGGUAGCUAAUACCGCAUAACGUCGCAAGACCAAAGAGGGGGACCUUCGGGCCUCUUGCCAUCAGAUGUGCCCGGAUGGGAUUAGCUAGUAGGUGGGGUAACGGCUCACCUAGGCGACGAUCCCUAGCUGGUCUGGGAGGAUGACCAGCCACACUGGAACUGAGACACGGUCCAGACUCCUACGGGAGGCAGCAGUGGGGAAUAUUGCACAAUGGGCGCAAGCCUGAUGCAGCCAUGCCGCGUGUAUGAAGAAGGCCUUCGGGUUGUAAAGUACUUUCAGCGGGGAGGAAGGUGUUGAGGUUAAUAACCUCAGCAAUUGACGUUACCCGCAGAAGAAGCACCGGCUAACUCCGUGCCAGCCGCCGCGGUAA